CAGGGGAUUUUCCCAACCCAGGGAUCGAACCCAGGUCUCCCACAUUGCAGAUCAUUUACCAGCUGAGCCACAAGGGACGCCGACUCUAAAGUUUAAUCACAGUUUAACCAUCCUCUCUCCCUCACACCCACUUCUAGAUAAAAUUCCUGAAGGAAAUGCACUAAAACUGUGUCUGGAACAUAACACCUUAAUUUUGAAGACAGUAACCCAGGUUGAUGAAAAUACUGAUUCGUUAAUCAUCAGAUACUGGAUGUCUGCUCUUGCAUGGUACCAAUCUUCUGCUUGUUCAUAUGUCCACACACUUGUAGGUUUAGUUUUGGUGACAACUAUUUGUUCCCUCCCUGGAGGUGGAACAUACUGAAAGACUCAGCCGUACAACUUGUUAUAGCUGAUGAAAUGUGAGCGAACACGACUGAGGCCACUUCAGACCAGAAGCUUUAGGUGCAGUUAUGUGGUUUGGCUUGGCAGCUUGUGUUCCUGCCCUCUGCAAGAGAACUGCAUGAGGCAUGGGGCUGUUCCUCCUUUCGGGGUCCCAGAGUGAGAUGGCCCGUGAAGCUGACCUGAAGUCAUCCUGCCACCUGGAGCAAGGGCACUGCUGACCUGUAGGCCUCCUAUAACAGGAGUGA
rnacentral:lncRNA from 1 species